rnacentral:rRNA from 1 species
UGCGCAGGUGGGUUGGCAAGUUUGAUGUGAAAGCCCCGGGCUUAACCCGGGAAUGGCAUUGAAUACUGCUGAUCUGGAGGAUUGGAGGGGGGACUGGAAUUCUUGGUGUAGCAGUGAAAUGCGUAGAUAUCAAGAGGAACACCAGUGGCGAAGGCGAGUCCCUGGACAAUACCUGACACUGAGGCACGAAAGCCAAGGGAGCAAACA